GUUUUUUCAAAAACAUCACCUCUAGCAUGACACGUAUUAGAGGCACUGCCUGCCCAGUGACAUCUGUUCAACGGCCGCGGUAUCCUGACCGUGCAAAGGUAGCAUAAUCACUUGUUCUCUAAAUAAGGACUUGUAUGAAUGGCCACACGAGGGUUUUACUGUCUCUUACUUCCAAUCAGUGAAAUUGACCUUCCCGUGAAGAGGCGGGAAUGCUUUAAUAAGACGAGAAGACCCUAUGGAGCUUCAAUUAACUGGUCCAAUGAAAACAAAUUACAACCUACCCUAGGCAUAACCACCUUUCAUCUGGCCCAGCAAUUUAGGUUGGGGUGACCUCGGAGCACAGAAAACCCUCCGAGUGAUAAAAGCCUAGACUAACAAGUCAAAGCACCUUGUCACUUAUUGAUCCAAAUCUUGAUCAACGGAACAAGUUACCCUAGGGAUAACAGCGCAAUCCUAUUCAAGAGUCCAUAUCGACAAUAGGGUUUACGACCUCGAUGUUGGAUCAGGACAUCCCAAUGGUGCAGAAGCUAUAAUGGUCGUUGUCACGAUGAG
rnacentral:rRNA from 1 species